GGCUUUCGUCGUUGCUGAAAGCAUUCCGAGCUUAGCAUGGAAGAGCAAGAGUACGCGCUGAUCAGAAUAAUCAACUCACAACUGUUGCUCGGCAUGGACGUUGGAGUUGAAUUUGGUGACAUGAUCACUAGCCACGGCGUCUUUUUUACAAGAGGCCACCUUAAACUCUAAUUCUAAUUUUACAUGAGACUUCGUAAAUACUAUCUCCUAUCUAAAUUAUACGUCAUUUGUUCCUAAGUUUGAGUGAAAAAUGCAGAACACUUGGUACUUUUUGAAUUA